rnacentral:rRNA from 1 species
UGCAGUCGAGGGGUAACAUAGUUGCUUGCAACUGAUGACGACCGGCGCACGGGUGCGUAACGCGUAUAGUACCUACCUUAUAGUAAGGGAUAGCCCAGAGAAAUUUGGAUUAAUACCUUAUAGUAUCUUAAGUGAGCCUUCACUAAGGAUUAAAGAUUUAUCGCUAUAAGAUGGCUAUGCGUUCUAUUAGCUAGUUGGUAUGGUAACGGCAUACCAAGGCUACGAUAGAUAGGGGUCCUGAGAGGGAGAUCCCCCACACUGGUACUGAGACACGGACCAGACUCCUACGGGAGGCAGCAGUGAGGAAUAUUGGACAAUGGAGGCAACUCUGAUCCAGCCAUGCCGCGUGUAGGAAGACUGCCCUAUGGGUUGUAAACUACUUUUAUAGAGGAAGAAACCAUUUCACGUGUGAAAUGCUGACGGUACUCUACGAAUAAGGAUCGGCUAACUCCGUGCCAGCAGCCGCGGUAAUACGGAGGAUCCAAGCGUUAUCCGGAAUCAUUGGGUUUAAAGGGUCCGUAGGCGGUUUAGUAAGUCAGUGGUGAAAGUUUUCGGCUCAACCGGAAAAUUGCCAUUGAUACUGCAAGACUUGAAUUAUUGUGAAGUGGUUAGAAUGUGUAGUGUAGCGGUGAAAUGCAUAGAUAUUACACAGAAUACCGAUUGCGAAGGCAGAUCACUAACAAUUAAUUGACGCUAAGGGACGAAAGCGUGGGUAGCGAACAGGAUUAGAUACCCUGGUAGUCCACGCCGUAAACGAUGGUUACUAGCUGUUCGGACUUCGGUCUGAGUGGCUAAGCGAAAGUGAUAAGUAACCCACCUGGGGAGUACGUUCGC